rnacentral:rRNA from 1 species
AAUGAACGUUGGCGGCAUGGAUUAGGCAUGCAAGUCGAGCGAGAAGUGUAGCAAUACACGGAAAGCGGCGGAAGGGAGAGUAAUACGUGGGAAUCUGCCCUUAGACCUGGGAUAGCAGCGGGAAACUGCUGGUAAUACCAGAUAAUGUCUAUGGACCAAAGGUGUGAUUCCGUCUAGGGAUGAGCCCACGUCCUAUUAGCUAGUUGGUAGGGUAAUGGCCUACCAAGGCGAUGAUGGGUAGCGGGUGUGAGAGCAUGACCCGCCUCACUGGGGCUGAGACCCUGCACAGACACCUACGGGUGGCGGCAGUCGAGAAUCUUCGGCAAUGGGCGCAAGCCUGACCGAGCGAUGCCGCGUGCGGGAUGAAGGCCUUCGGGUUGUAAACCGCUGUCGAGGGGGAGCAACUUCCAUAGAGUUAUCUCUAUGGAUUGAGUGAUCCCUGGAGGAAGGACGGGCUAAGUUCGUGCCAGCCGCCGCCGUAAAAC